rnacentral:rRNA from 1 species
GACGAACGCUGGCGGCGUGCUUAACACAUGCAAGUCGAACGGAAAGGCCCUGCUUUUGUGGGGUGCUCGAGUGGCGAACGGGUGAGUAACACGUGAGUAACCUGCCCUUGACUUUGGGAUAACUUCAGGAAACUGGGGCUAAUACCGGAUAGGAGCUCCUGCUGCAUGGUGGGGGUUGGAAAGUUUCGGCGGUUGGGGAUGGACUGGCGGCUUAUCAGCUUGUUGGUGGGGUAGUGGCUUACCAAGGCUUUGACGGGUAGCCGGCCUGAGAGGGUGACCGGCCACAUUGGGACUGAGAUACGGCCCAGAUUCCUACGGGAGGCAGCAGUGGGGAAUAUUGCACAAUGGGCGGAAGCCUGAUGCAGCAACGCCGCGUGCGGGAUGACGGCCUUCGUGUUGUAAACCGCUUGCGCCUGUGACGAAGCGUGAGUGACGGUAAUGGGUAAAGAAGCACCGGCUAACUACGUG